ACGAUCUUCGGCUAUAACCAUCUUGGAUUACAAUGAGUUUAAAUCAGAAGGCUGCAUGUGAGUAGAUAUCAUCAGUUGUCUAAGAAUAUGAAUCAAUUACCGGGUUGGCAAUAUUUCCAACAAUAAUUACGAGAUCAGGGCACUUCUCCGAUGAGAUACAAGCUAUUUAUUGAUGACGCUGAUGAAAUUCGGUGAACGAGAUGAUCGUUGCGAUGAUGAAAUCCGGUGACAAUGAUAAGAUCCGGUCAAGAUAAGAGAAGAGAAGAAGAAGACGACACUGUAAAUGAGAUGGUGGUGGUGAUGAUGAGACCCGGCAUGCGCGGUGGUGAGAAGCAAGUAGAAGAAGGUGAUGGUAAGAUUAAGAACGACUAAAUCUCGAAUCUCGACUUAUAACGGCGGCGAUGGUGAGCUCAGCCUUGAUGAUGGUGGCUUGAUCACUGUUAAAUGCUUCAAUCGCCUCGCUUUGACCAAUCACACGACUGUUCUUUUCGCGAUUUCCUCUAAGAUUUUUCAAUCACAAACAUGUAAUUUUCAAUUUGAUUUAAAUUUGAAGAUGAAUUGGAAGUUUUUAUUCAAUUUAA